AAUAUAGGGGGACCACCCUCUAAGCCUAAAUACUCUUCAGUGACCGAUAGUGAACUAGUACCGUGAGGGAAAGGUGAAAAGAACCCCUAUUAGGGGAGUGAAAUAGAACCUGAAACCGCAUGCCUACAAUCAGUCGAAGCUCUUUUUAGAGUGACGGCGUACCUUUUGUAUAAUGGGUCAGUGACUUAAUUUAUUAAGCAAGCUUAAGCCAUCUAGGUGUAGGCGCAGCGAAAGCAAGUCUUAAUAGGGCGAUUAGUUUAAUGAAUUAGACCCGAAAACGAAUGAGCUUACCAUGAGCAGGUUGAAAGUUGGGUAACACCAACCGGAGGACCGAACCAGUUGACGUUGAAAAGUCUUUGGAUGACUUGUGGUAAGGGGUGAAAGGCCAACCAAAUUCGUAGAUAGCUGGUUUUCCGCGAAAACUAUUUAGGUAGUGCGUUGAGUAAAUAGAUGUUUAGAGGUAGAGCACUAAAUGGGCUAGGGGGAAGAGAUUCUUACCAAACCUAAUAAAACUCCGAAUGCUAAACGUUGUUCUUCAGCAGACAGACUGUGGGUGCUAAGGUCCAUGGUCGAGAGGGAAAGAGCCCAGACCACCAGAUAAGGUCCCCAAAUUAUGAUUAAGUGUGAAAGGAUGUGGAAAUUCCUUAACAGCCGGGAGGUUGGCUUAGAAGCAGCCAUCCUUUAAAGAUAGCGUAACAGCUCACCGGUCUAAUAGAGUUUCUGCGCCGAAGAUGUAACGGGGCUAAAAUCAUAUACCGAAUCUGUGGGUUUAUAAAGUUUUCGAACUUUAUAAGCGGUAGCGGAACGUUCUGUAAGCCUGUGAAGGGAUACCCGUGAGGGAUCCUGGAGGUAUCAGAAGUGCGAAUGCUGACAUAAGUAACGAUAAAAGAAGUGAAAAACUUCUUCGCCGAAAAUCCAAGGGUUUCUGCGCAAGGUUAAUCCGCGCAGAGUUAGUCGGCACCUAAGGCGAGGGCGAAAGCCGUAGUCGAUGGAAAUAAGGUUAAUAUUCCUUAACCAGAUGGUAGUGACGGAUCUUGUAAGUUGUGAGUUCUUAAUGGAUUGAGCUUGCCGCGAAAAGGUUCCAAGAAAUAGCUCCAUCAUUAGACCGUACCCUAAACCGACACAGGUGGAUUAAUAGAGUAUAUUUAGGCGCUUGAGAGAAUGAUGUUGAAGGAACUCGGCAAAAUGCUUCCGUAACUUCGGAAUAAGGAAGACCUUUUAGUAGGCAACUAUUAGAGGGUGGCACAAGCCAGGGAGAAGCGACUGUUUAUCAAAAACACAGGGCUCUGCUAACACGUAAGUGGAUGUAUAGGGUCUGACGCCUGCCCGGUGCUGGAAGGUUAAUGCGAUGGGUGCAAGCUCAUUUCUGAAGCCCCAGUAAACGGCGGCCGUAACUAUAACGGUCCUAAGGUAGCGAAAUUCCUUGUCGGGUAAGUUCCGACCUGCAUGAAUGGCGUAACGAUUUCUCCGCUGUCUCCAACAUCAACUCAGUGAAAUUGAAUUCUCCGUGAAGAUGCGGAGUUCGCGUAGUUAGACGGAAAGACCCCGUGCACCUUUACUGCAACUUUACAUUGGUAUUAGGAAAAACAUAUUUAGCAUAGGAGGGAGACAUUGAAGCAAAGGCGUCAGCUUUUGUGGAGUCACCAGUGAAAUACCUCUUUUGUUUUUCUUGAUAUCUAACUGAUUGCCGUUAUCCGGCAUCAAGACAUUGUAUGGUGGGUAGUUUGACUGGGGCGGUCGCCUCCCAAAUAGUAACGGAGGCGUGCGAAGGUAAGCUCAGAACGGUCAGAAAUCGUUCGUAGAGUGCAAUGGCAUAAGCUUGCCUGACUGUGAGACUGACAAGUCGAGCAGAG
rnacentral:rRNA from 1 species